GUUAUUUUCGGGGUGUUAUUUUAACACCACUUUGAAGGAAUUCUAGAGGGGUAAUACGGGAGUUAAAAAUUUGAGCUCUUUUAACUCCAUAACUGGAGUUAAAAUAAUACCCUUUGAGGGGUUACAGGCAUUCGCAAGCUAAUCAGUAUUCAAAAGUAACACCACGUAAGGGGGGUUAGUGAAUCUAACUCCAUUUGAGGGGUUACUGGCGUCAAGAGCAAGUCUCACAUGAUUACAUAUGGCGUUCAAGUUGAUAUUUUAUAAACAGUUCUGUGAAUUUUCCUGUUAUAUACGAGGAAUGAAAGCUUUAAGAAUCAAAUUAUGGAUGAAGAACAUUUCGAAGGUUAGUUUAUCACUUUAUCUACCGGUUGUUUGUAGCCCAUUUAGCUUAAACGGCGGAUAUAAGUCAAAUUUUCAUUCGUUUUGUGAAUAACUGAAUACAAGUUUUUUAAAAACCUUAAAAAUGUUGUUGUACAUAAGUGUUCUUUUCAGAUUGAAAAAAUAUUUUGAUUGUUCCAAUGAAUACACAGACUUGCUUAAUUGAUAUUCUGGACUUAUCCACCGUUUUAUAGACUAAACGCGCUGCGAACAACCGGCCCCUGGGGUCGGCUGUUUAAUAGGUGCAUCAAAGGCAUUUAGCUAAGCUUAAACGGUGGACAGGCAAAAAAAUUAUAAUACAUUCUCAUUCAUCUUGUAAAUAAUUAAACUUCAUCAACUAAAUGUGCAGUUCUAUGCAUAGUUGUUAUGUUUAAACAGAGAAUAUUAGUUUGAUUGUAGUCGUAAAUUUGUUUGAUAUUUUUUUUUACUUAUCCACUGUUCAGGCUAUAAACGCCUUUGAUACAACCGGCCCCUGAAACAGUAGUUUACAACUUAAUUUUUGCCUUGCAUGUUCAGUUCCAAUUGGACCAAUUGGUUCAUCACAUGGCAUUUAGAAGUAAUAUAUUAAUCAUAUUACUAUAAGAAAAAUCAUCAAAUGUCUUUACAACUUUGAUAUUAAUAGAGUAUGACUUAACCCAUUAAGCGCCAGCACUCUCCCCUUGAUGAGUAAAAUUGUCUGGCGUUACACAGAGUAAAACACUAAAGUAGGGUGCAUCAGGGUGAAAUGCGACUCAAUGGGUUAACUAGACACAUAGGCAGAUAGGCUUGUUAAAACCCAUUAAGCGCCAGCACUCUCCCCAUGAUGAGUAUAAUCGUCUGGCGUUAGAUAGAGUAAAAUACUAAAGUAUAGGUACAUCAGGGUGCAAUGCGACUCAAUGGUUAAUGAACAAUUUAGUAAGUGAAUAGGCAAUUCCAGCUUUUAGUUUAUGCAUGCAGGGGAUGAUGGGAAGUAAAGUAUAAUAUUGCUGUUUAUGCUGAAAAAUUUCAUUAAAAACUGCUGAAACAACUAUUUGAGAUACACAAUUAGAUAUUUCACUAUUUACAAAUAUAAGCUGUCACUCUGUGUUUCACUGCCGCCAGUUUUUUUAAUUUUUUCAGCAUAAUCAGUGAUAUCAUACCUUACUCCCGUCAACCUCUGCACGCAUAAACUAAAAGCUGGAAUUGCCUAUUCCAACAAGUGUGAUAGAGCAUCAGAUGGUGCUGGUAUACUCAGUACUGACAGUUAUCAAAAUGAGAAAAUGAUUUAUAUGCUUUCCAAGAUGUAUUACCGGUCAUUAUUUAUGGCAAACUGAAAAAUAAUACUUGCUUUAGGUGUGGUGGCCAAAAAAUCUUGCAUGCAGAGGUGGGGUAAAAAAAUAACCUUACUUUAAUCACACACAAUACAAUAUAAUAUAUACUACCAUCAGAGUUUAAUAUGUGAUUAUUCUAAUUUUUUAAUAAAAUAUUGCUUUCCAAAAUGUUGACAGAAACACCUCCCUCAACCCACCCGUAAAGGGUCAUUUUUAUAUUCAUUUACACACAAAAUCUCCAAAGACUCCAAUUACCAGACAAAAUAUUAUACUGCCUAUAUAUACAGUAGGGGCUGUUUAUAUGGUGCAACUGCAAGCCAACUCCAGCUAGGGUACUCAAGUUGGCCAGUUUUGGAAAAAUCCUGCCUUUGUAACUGUUAUUUCUUACUAAAGUUCACCUUGUGCAUAUAUGGGCAAAGAGCGGGCCCAUCUAUAGCUAAGCGAGAUCCCGCCUCUUUAGCCCGAGAUCUUGCCUCAAGAAAAGUGACCUUAAGUCUGUACUAGAUAGCUCCUAACCCCGGGCAACCAGCCUCGCCUCCAUAUUAACAUGCCCUUAUUACAUAUCUCAAAAAGUAUAUAUGUAGAGUCUGUUAAAUUUUCAGGAUUUAAUUUUUGGGCAUCUACACUUGAUACUGUACAAUAAUAUUUAUAUCCAGUAUGUGCUUGUAAACCAUAUGUGGACAAUUCAGGUAGCAAAUCAUGAAAUAUGCCCCUUGUGAAUCUGGAGAAUCAUUCCAAUGGUUAUAGUUCAUAAUAUGUUCAGCUCAAACAUUGUUCUGAGUCUUUGGCAACUAGUUGUUUUUCUUUAUACUCCAGGUGAUCUUGAUACGCGGAAAAGUACUGGCACUAGUUGUCAAAUAGAAAUCCAUUUUAUGAUUAAAACAACUGAAUAACUCCUGUAAUAUACUUUAUUUCGAUUCCAUAUUUUUGUCAGAGCUAUAGUUCUCAUAACCAAACAUAAUUACAAAAUUUCAACUAGUUUCAUAAAGAAUAACGAAAGAUAUAAUUGACUGAAUACAUCAAAAUGGAUUUCUAUUCGGACAACCCUUUCUGAGCGCUGAUUGGCUAAAAUACGAACACGAGAUCACCUGGCUAGCAGAUCAUAUAAAUGGAUAAAAUAAUCAUGGAUAAAAUAAGAGAAAUCCAUUUACCCGUUUUACAGAUUAAUUUAAUUGUUUAUAUAAUCAUACUUGGAAAUCAGAUGAAUAUCUUUAUCUUCACGUUGUAUAACAGCAAUUUUUCUCAUUAAUUUACAGUAACAUCAUUUUCUAAAUUCAGAUAUUUUCACAUGGGACAUAUACUUUAGUAUCGUUGUAUUGUUUACAAAUUAAAAUAUUAAAUUGUUCAUGAACUUCAAGAAUUCCUUGGGAAUUCUUAAGGAUUUCCUUUGAAAUUCCGUGAUAAUACAUGUAUUAUAGUUAUGUAAAUAUAGUAAGGAAAUGUUCAAGGAAUUUCAGAGGAAAUUUUAGAAUUUUGAAGUUGCAAUCAUGGGUGAGCACACGUUUUGUGAAACUGUUUCAACAUAAAAUUACAUUUUAAUUAAUAAAGAAAUGCAAGAAUGUGAAAGAAACCAAAUUAUAUACAGUGAAACUUUAAAGUGGGAAAGAGAUAGGUGGUGAAAUACGGUUAGUGUUCUAAAAUACUGAAAUAUAUGCUGUACAGGUUUCAUAUCAGUGCAUGGUUAAUAUAUGUGACUAGCUUUGUUUAUGGGACUAGCAUUACACUAUCUUGUGAAAACUGAAAAGGGAAUACAACGUUGAAUACAAAGUAUAAAAACCCAUUCAUAUUUCAAUUUUACAAGUAGACAAAUUUUAAGCCUUUAGAUAACUAUAAUUCUUUAUAUAGUACCUUACUAUUGCAGGGGUAACCCAUAUAAUAAGGCAUGACUGUUAGUGUGCUUUAAUUACUCCACAGGAAAUAAGGGAUAAGGCGGAUAUUGGUAAACCAGUAUUACCAAUCAGUCCUAUUCCCUUUUAAUUAUAAUGGCCACUGUGGUCAAAGCACCCUAUAAUAAUUAUUAUUUACUCUCUAACAGCAGAGGGCAAUUUUGUACCUUGAUGAGUAAUACACAAUUGUCAUACAAAAUACUAAACUGUUUCAUUACAUAUUUUAUGUCUGAACCUUUGACAUUGCAACAAAACAUGCAGGUUUGGGUGAGGUAAAAAAAUUUUUUGGCAUUUCACCGGUGGGGUAGCUAGAAAUUUUGUUUUGAAAAAGGUGGGGUAUUGAUUUUUCCGGCUUCAUUAUACUUUCCCUUUGGCCCCCACCCCUACCAUAAAUAAUGACCAGUCCCUAAUACUCAAAUAUUUGAUAGCAAGAAAAUCCAAAGAAUUAUGAGAAAUACAUCAGUUUAAUUUUCAAGCAGCUUCUGCAAUAACUAAAACAUACACUUAACAAAACUUUCCAAUACUUUUACUCAUCAUUGCGGAAUAAUUCAGUGAGACAUUGUUACCCAUUAAGUAGCAAGAGUUUGUCAUGCAUUUGUAAAUUCAUUGAGCCUUAGACCACAAUUAGCCAUUUCCGAAUCGACAAUCCGCAUAACAUCUAUGGAUUGUUUGGAGGGACAAAACAAAGUGGGAAGAAACUUUAUGAGUUAAAAUUGGUGCAAGAAAGUUUGAAAGAUGCCUCAUUAUCUCUAAACAAAUUUCCUAAAAGUUGUUUACACUAUUGGAUGUAUUGGUUCUGUGUCUUAUGACUGGCGAUGUCUAUUGCACUGUCCCUCCAAACAAUCCACACAUGCAUGCUUUGCAGUCUCAAUUGGAAAAUGGCUGAUGCUCUAUGAUUAUUUACUACUUUGUCCAAUGCUGGACAUUAUAUUCCUCAUCAAAGGUAAACCUUUUCAACUUUCAACCAGAGUGUAUGCCAACACAUAAAGGUUAUACCUAUAGAUCAUGCAACACAGUUGUUUCAUUGUGACUACUUCACUCUGCUUUGUUUUUAAACCAGAUGGAAAGCCUUGUACAUAGCCCUUUUAGGCUUAUGGCUUAAUGUGUUAAUUAGCCUUUAUGUGGCGACCCCUUCCUCUAAAGGAGAGGGUUCACUGCAUGUAUGCAAAAUAAUGCCAUAUAGUUUUUAGGGUAUCAACUCUUUAAAUGCCUAACUCUCAACUCUUUUUUGAUUUUUUUUCUGCUGUCGGAUUUCCAUCAGCUGGUCAUCAUCUGGAAUGGUAACCUCAUAACCCUGGAAAUGGCUAUUAAAACAGAUGGUAUCUAGUGGCUGCAUCACAAACUGGAUUGCUGCAAGAUUUUUGGCAACAACUACAAUUAAAUUGCUAAUCUUCCAAAACCUUGGCAUGUCAUCAUCAUCAUAACCACUAUGUUGAUGGCACUGCAUCUGUAUUUAUGUACCGGUACAUAAUUUUUAUUCUGUCUAAAAGUUGAAAGCCAGGGGCCGGUUGUAUCAAGGAUAUUUAGCUCAACUAUCAAACAAAUCCAUGAACUAUAGACUACAAUCAAACUAAUAUUUUCUGUCCAAACAUAACAACCAUGCAUUGAACUACACAUUUCGUUGAUAAAAUUGAAGUUCAAUUUUUUACAAAAUGAAUAGGAAUGUUUUGAAAUUUGUGCUUAUCCACCGUUUAAGCUACUUCGCCUUUGAAACAACCGGCUCCUGGUUAUCCUAACCCAUUGAGUGGCGAUGCACCCUGAUGCACCCUACUUUAGUAUUUUACUCUGCCUAACGCCAGACAAUUUUACUCGUCAAGGGGAGAGCGCUGGCACUUAAUGGGUUAACCCGCCUAUCUGCCCAUAUGUCUAGUUAACCUAUUCAGUGGCGAUGCUCCCUGAUGCACCCUACUUUAGUAUUUUACUCUGCCUAACGCCAGACAAUUUUACUCGUCAAGGGGAGAGCGCUGGCACUUAAUGGGUUAACCCGCUUAUCUGCCCAUAUGUCUAGUUAACCUAUUCAGUGGCGAUGCUCCCUGAUGCACCCUACUUUAGCAUUUUACUCUGUCUAACGCCAGACGAUUUUACUCGUUAAGGGGAGAGCGCUGGCGCUUAAUGGGUUAACCCGCUUAUCUGCCCAUAUGUCUAGUUAACCUAUUCAGUGGCGAUGCUCCCUGAUGCACCCUACUUUAGCAUUUUACUCUGUCUAACGCCAGACGAUUUUACUCGUCAAGGGGAGAGCGCUGGCGCUUAAUGGCCGGGUUAACUAGCUAGCCUAUCUGCCCAUGUGUCUAGUUAACCCAUUCAGUGGCAAUGCUCCCUGAUGCACCCUACUUUAGUAUUUUACUCUGUCUAACGCCAGACGAUUUUACUCAUCAAGGGGAGAGCGCUGGCGCUUAAUGGGUUAAUAUAAGCAAAAUCUUGUUUUAUCAAAUUAUCCAUUGUUAGAUGGCAUGCAAAAUAACAACACAGCAUUGCCAAGAAUUUGUAUUCUUGUUGGAAUUUCCUAUAUUGAGCACUUACUAUAUUUCACUCUGUCUAACAAUUUGGAACUAAUUUGAUAAAGGAACAUGGCAAUAAUGCCUCAUAAAGGCCACAUGCAUUAUAUUGUUUUGGUUCAGUUUUUUAUACACUAUGCAUGGAUAGACUUUAAUUGGCAAAACUACAAUGGUGACAGUUUUGUAAAUAAGUUAAUAUUGAGGAAGAUAAUUAAUUGUAUAAUGUUUUGAUAGAUAUUUUCAACGUUAAAUUUUAUUAAAGUUAAA
rnacentral:lncRNA from 1 species